UAGAGGUUUAGAAUAGUUUUCGAUUUUAGAUCAAAAAUUUUGAGAUGAGUGUUAUUGGUGCACUUUGUAAAUACUAGUUGAUACAAUAAAGUUGAAAUCGUUCAAUCUACAUCUUUCUGUUUUCAUCUACCGGUGUUUCUCUGGGUUCCAACAGUCUAAUCUGCGGCAAAGGAGCAGUGCGAUCGGAGGUAGCAAGGUUCUAUCAAGUUCAUCGGUUAAGAAAAGUUCCAAAUGGUACACAAUGACUGCUCCAACAUCUGCAACAGAACAACAUUAUUUGCAUAAGAAAUCAGAUAACAUUGAAGGACAAGAACAUGGCUUGCUGGUGGUUAUGUUUGCAAUUACCUCUGGAGUUAUCGUGGAUUUACAGAGAAGCCUAAAAA